rnacentral:rRNA from 1 species
GCCAGUCCCACCUUCGACCACUCCCCCCUUCCGGUUGGGCCAUGGGCUUCGGGUGUUACCAACUUUCGUGACUUGACGGGCGGUGUGUACAAGGCCCGGGAACGUAUUCACCGCAGCGUUGCUGAUCUGCGAUUACUAGCGACUCCGACUUCAUGGGGUCGAGUUGCAGACCCCAAUCCGAACUGAGACCGGCCUUUUGGGAUUCGCUCCACCUUACGGUAUCGCAGCCCUCUGUACCGGCCAUUGUAGCAUGCGUGAAGCCCAAGACAUAAGGGGCAUGAUGAUUUGACGUCAUCCCCACCUUCCUCCGAGUUGACCCCGGCAGUCUCCCAUGAGUCCCCGGCAUAACCCGCUGGCCACAUGGGACGAGGGUUGCGCUCGUUGCGGGACUUAACUCAACAUCUCAAAACACUAGCUGACGACCACCAUGCACCACCUGUGCACCGACCUUGCGGGGCGACAAUCUCUG